GCUGAAGUGGGCCCCCCUGUCCAAUAAUGCAAGUCGAGCGAAUGGAUUAAGAGCUUGCUCUUAUGAAGUUAGCGGCGGACGGGUGAGUAACACGUGGGUAACCUGCCCAUAAGACUGGGAUAACUCCGGGAAACCGGGGCUAAUACCGGAUAACAUUUUGAACCGCAUGGUUCGAAAUUGAAAGGCGGCUUCGGCUGUCACUUAUGGAUGGACCCGCGUCGCAUUAGCUAGUUGGUGAGGUAACGGCUCACCAAGGCAACGAUGCGUAGCCGACCUGAGAGGGUGAUCGGCCACACUGGGACUGAGACACGGCCCAGACUCCUACGGGAGGCAGCAGUAGGGAAUCUUCCGCAAUGGACGAAAGUCUGACGGAGCAACGCCGCGUGAGUGAUGAAGGCUUUCGGGUCGUAAAACUCUGUUGUUAGGGAAGAACAAGUGCUAGUUGAAUAAGCUGGCACCUUGACGGUACCUAACCAGAAAGCCACGGCUAACUACGUGCCAGCAGCCGCGGUAAUACGUAGGUGGCAAGCGUUAUCCGGAAUUAUUGGGCGUAAAGCGCGCGCAGGUGGUUUCUUAAGUCUGAUGUGAAAGCCCACGGCUCAACCGUGGAGGGUCAUUGGAAACUGGGAGACUUGAGUGCAGAAGAGGAAAGUGGAAUUCCAUGUGUAGCGGUGAAAUGCGUAGAGAUAUGGAGGAACACCAGUGGCGAAGGCGACUUUCUGGUCUGUAACUGACACUGAGGCGCGAAAGCGUGGGGAGCAAACAGGAUAGUAACCCCCCUGUGGUAGUCACA
rnacentral:rRNA from 1 species